rnacentral:lncRNA from 1 species
UGUUCCUCUGUGAGUUGAGAGGGUUGGAUUUUGUUCAUGAUAAACAAUAAUCCAGUGGCAGCAGAGAAUAAAAGAGCAGAGGACAGUUUCAUAGCCAUAAGUGGUGCACCUUCCCCGUUUGUGACAGCUGCAACACCAGACAUGGUUGUAGCAGUGAGAGUAAUCAUAUUUAUUGAGUUUAAUAGAAGAUUAUUCCAGUUGUUACGUUGUUCGCCAAUGUUGUGAUGCAUUUCUAUUCUGUCUGAUACAGCUUCCAAGACUGCAUAGAGUUGAACUGUAGCAUUAGAAAUUGUAGAAUGCUUUUGUUGUUGAUCUUGUAAUAUUUGUGUGAUGUUGUUGUUUUCUAAUAAUGGAGUAUUUUUGUACUGUUUGAUUACUUUUAGUUCUUGAUCAUCAACUUGUUUUCUAGUUUGUAUCUUUGACAAUGAAAUAUUUGUGAGUUUUGGGAGAUGGAUUGAAGCAUUAAUUACUUUCUUUGAAGAUGAUGAUAAAGAACAAGAAAUUGGAACUGAAGUUUGUAAUAAAGCCAUGAUAUAUAUGAAUUAAUAUUAUUUGAAGGGUGUUUAUAUGAAAGGUUUUAGUUGAAUGUUAAUAUGUGUAAGGUGGUAUGAAUAUUUAUAUAUAUAGCAAAGAACGAAAGAGAAGGGGUCAGAAUGAAACAAAGAAACCCUGAUUGACCAGUUUAAUUGAAAUAGUCUCUGUUCAAAAUUCCCAGCCUUGUCCUUAGUUUGGGUCACACUCAACAUACGACAUAGUAAAAUUAAAACCAUAAUUAAGACUGAACAAUAGUACUGCGUUACAUGCAAGAAAAACGAAACUACGUAGUAGCUUGGUAAUUAGCAUAUAACAAAUUAAAACUAUGGACUUUAUCUCUUCAUUCACCAAUUUAAUCCUUUUACUUUUAAAUUGUCAAUAUAAUCUAUGGCUAAUGCUCCAUUUUAGAAAUGUCUUUUAUUUUGAAGUGUCUUUCAGUUUGGCCACACCAACAUUGUUUUGACUCAACUGGCCAUAUACCAUAGGUCUUAAAAUGUUCAACAUUUAUAAUUUCAUAAAAUUUGAAUUUUCAGUUCGUUGCUAUAUAUCUUCUGUUCGGACUUAAUUUGCUUAAUUAAUUUAUUAUAUAUCAAAUAAAAUUUGAAGACCGGGGAAAAAUAAUAUUUGAAAUCAAUUGAGUAUAUAUUUUUUUUUUGAUCAAGCAAAGAAAUACUAUAAAAGACCUGGAGAGGGCCAGAUCCCUUAACAACAAAGAAGCUUACAUCAAAACAAAAAGAAGGUGCAAAACAUUAUAUCACGGAGAUCUAUAACAAGAAAGACUUGUGCAAAUCGUGAAUGAAAUAAACUAACAAUGAUACUGCUAAAAGAAGAACAACAGAGAAAUGGCAGAAGCUACUAGCUUAACAACCAUGUUCACAAAGAUUUGAACCAACUAUUCAGUAUAUGGCAGGACAGCUUUGGAGGUACCCUUUUGAGCACGGGUCCUCAUUCCGGUUGAGUUGAAGCUAGUAGGCUUCACUUUGUUCGCCUGCUUCUUCUGCUUUUUGCAAUGGAAACAAGCAUGUCAACCUAAAAAGUGCAAAGAGGAUACCAACCUAAAUUUAAAGCAAUCCACUUUCAAAUUCAGAACUGUUGUCAAAUAAAAAACUAUCAACUCACUUGGGUUGAUAGUUACAUGAGAUGAUUCAAGUUUCCUUCGACUUAAUUAAAGGUUUUGGAGUUUGAAAUCCAGCUUUUGUUUUUACAUAUUUCAGCUUUGGAAAUAUAACCACGUUGAAACUCCUAAAGCGGUCUUGUAAUUACUCCUCACUUGAUAGCCGCAUGGAUAUUUGAUUUGUUGGUGUGCAAGUUUGAACCCUACGAUUAUGCACUUCUCCAAAUUCUUCAUCAUUACUAGUAUCAUUGUCUUGUUCGAUUCGUCAUGAAUGGUACCAUUGAUUCGAACGUUCAUGCUUUUUGAUGUAUAAGUUAGUUGUGUACUCAUGUCUCCUAUUAGACAUGCGAAGUUGUUUAUUAUUUCAUUGUUUCGUUUCAUGUUUAUCAUGGACUAUUGUGUGAACUAAUUCAAAACAUUUUAUAUACUAUACGGUCUUUCUUCCUCGGGAGGAUGUUGAUAGUACAAUUGAUAUAAUUGAUACUCAUAUUCAAUAUAGUUGUUGUUGUAACCACGAUCAUAUCCGUCAUGACUCUAUCUCCUAUGGAGAAUCUGAAAAGGAAAUAACUAAAAAGAAGGUUUUAUUUGGCUAGAAAAAGAGGGGUUAGUGGCAAACACAAAUACUAAACUAUAAAAAAAAAAUUAUAAAUACUCAAAACAAUAUAAAUCGUUGUGAUGCUCCAAUAUCUUAAACACAAGUCCCAACAAUGACGCCAUUUGAUGAGUUGUUUCUAUCGAGGCAUCAAAAAUAAGUAUUCAGUUCCCUCAAAAAAAAAGUAUUCAGAGUAUGAAAGUAGGGUUUGUUUGUACAUAUAAGUGGGAUCUUUGCAGUUAAUUAAAAUCGAAAACAAAGAGCAGAAAGAUAAUAUUGUAGGAAUUUUUCUUCGUUAUCUAAUGCCCUUCCUAGAUCGUCGAUUAUAUAUUUCUAAAGUUCAAUUAUGCUUACACAUGUCCCUCAUCAUUUGUUUCCAUGCCUUGCAAACAACGCAAGAUCUGUUAUACAUAUUAACUUAUGAUGUCUCGUUCAGUUAAUCGGUUCAAUGACAUUAAGAUCAUACAUCGAAUGUGAGUGCAAAUUAGCCCUAUGCCGAGCAACUAGCAUUCACAAAUGAAAUUAUUUUAGAUCCCGUAAAUAAAAAGUCGACGUCUCGCACUUUCUAAAUCAAAAUAUUAUUUUUGGAUUGCACGCCAGAGAAAAACAUUAAGAACAAAAAUAAAAUAGAGAUUAUUAUAUUCUAUAUAACUAGCCAGAUCAAGUAUCUACAUCAGAACCAUAACAAUUAGACUUAAUCUCAAUAAUAGAGAUGAUUGAAGAAAAGAGAUUUAAUGUUGAAGUUGAUUCCUCCAUCUCCUUUGCCUUGGCUUUCUCCUUCCAUAUGUGUGUGUGUGUUUCUGAGCUUUUUUAAGAAUGCCAAUAUAUAUCAAAAUAUAGAUAUGAGCCCUUUUUUAUAAAUUAUGACAAUUGACAAGUGAGAAUUUUCUCCACGAGCCAAAAUUCGCUCAGCGGAUUGAACUUUCUUCAGGGUUAAGCCUUUUUCGGCUCAGAAAAUGCCUUUUAAGUAGCCUUAGAUUUGCCUAGCGGAUUCUUGCUUGCCGAACAGGUUUGAAUGGAUUCAAAAUAGUGAAAAAUCUAGGACUUUCUGCUUGGACUCACUUCUAGAUCGCUUUGGCUCGCGUAGUGGAAUUGCUUAAACUUGUAAUUUUUGCUCUUUUCCUUCUCCUUCGCAAUAGAACUCAAAAGACCUAAAAAAAAAAAGGAAAACAAGUAAAAGUAGCUUAUCCAGCAUAAAAGGUAUAAGAACAUAGUAUUUACAUGAAAUUGAAAUUUUUUUCUUGAGAUUACUUGCAAAACAAGUUAAUAAUUGUCAUGAAUAAACAUGUAAUUUAAUAGAAAAUUGGUACUUAUCUGGGCAAAAUGGUACAUAUUUUGAAAAUUUUGUCCUGAUGACAUUAUGACACUGCAUACAUGUACUACAUACUUGACAGUAUUGUAGCAAAGUCUUAAUUUGUAUUCAUAUCCACUCAUGUAUCGUGUGAAAGGAGGAUCUAUCGGUUGAAAUAUAUUUGUGUUGUAUUUGUGCUUGUGACACUCGCGACAAAAUAGCAAAGCUUUUUCUGGAGUGCUUUGAUAGGUGGCGGCCAAGGGGUGCAUGGUGUCAACAUGGUUGGAAUGUCUUGGCUUAUCAUGUAGUACAUUUGCACUUAUUAUGGAAUUAUAUCUUAUUGUUUAAAAGAAAAAUUGUUUUCAAUACUCUCAAUCAAUCAAAGAAUAGUUUUACUUAUGUCUUUCCUAAAUUUAGUAGUUCUCAAAAUCUCCAAAAAUUCAUACAUUGCACUAUUUGGAAGAACUAAAGACCACACAGUUAAGGGACAUAGUUCAUUCAUUUGGCAUAACCACUUGACGAAAAAGAAAUCACUAUUGAGAACUAUUAGUUGAAUCAUCGCCUAACUUUUAACUUCGAUAACAAGAGACUAAAUGAAGCAAAAUAAGGAAAAGAAUAUAGUUAUUAUGAAUUCUCCUACUCAAUUAGAGGAUGAAGUUUGAAAUUAUAUUUGCAAAAUCAGAUCUCUGUUGGCUAUCUUUACAUUUGCUUUCUAUGUCAAAGUACUAACAAUGAAUAUACAUAAAAUAAUGUGAAUUAGGAUCUAUACAUGAAAGAACAAAAUAAUGUGUUAAUAUUGAAGAUUAUCUCAGAAUAGCUUGCUGGAAAAUUCAUCUAUGUCAACACCUUCGAUGCGACAAGAAGCUGAUUUUGUGGCACGUUCCCUCAGCUCUGAUACAUUUCUUCCCAAUUGCAAAGCCAUUUUCAUUUCAAAUAGCUCUCCAUUUUCUCUUUUCUCUAAAUCUUUCUCUCCCAAAGUUGAUUCAAUUGAAGUUUCUAACAAGUUGAAAAACCACCAGAAGCUCUACAUUUCAAAAACCAUGCCAACUUGUCCACCAUGCUCAAAAGUAUUAACUGCAGAAGCCAAUGAACCAGCCAAUAGAGGAACAAAGGCAGCCAAAGAGCCAUUGCCUAUAAAUGUAGAUCCAAUAGCGGCAAUUCCUGUGAGUAAUGGCCCUGCAAUUGCUAAACUCUUGUCUACCUUCAAAGCUAUGUUUCCAAGCCUGUUAUAAUCUUCAGCAUCUUUUCUCUUUAUCACUUCAACAACUUCCUGCAUGUAGAUCCAAUUGCUGCAAUUCCUGUGAGUAAUGGCCCUGCAAUUGCCAAACUCUUGUUUACCUUCAACGCUAUGUUUCCAAGUCUGUCAUAAUCUUCAGAAUCUUUUCUCUUGAUCACUUCAGCGACUUCCUGCAUUUCCAUUUCUAAUUCUUUACUCCAUCCGUUGUUCAUUUUCCCUAUUUUCUUGCUUUGUGUUUUUCCUUUUUUGGAAGGCCACCAAUUAGCAGGAACAAAUUUAGCAGGGUAAUUUUCAAGCAUUGCUCCCAAUAAAGGAAGUGGGUGUGCUUUAUCAUGUGCCAAAACUUUUUCAAUAGCUUCUUUGACAUCUUCUUUAGUAGAAUUUCCAAGAGCAAUUUUUGUUUGGAUUUGACUUUGAAGUUGCUUGAACAAUCUUGUAGUGUUUCAUUGCUCCUCGGCCAAUUGAGAAGGUUGGAUUUUGUUCAUGAUAAGCAACAAUCCGGUGGCUGCAGAAAACAAAAGAGCAGAAGAUAACUUCAAAGCCAAAAGUGAUGAAUCUGAGCAAGUAGUGGGAACAGUAGCAGCAAGACCAGACAUGGUUGUAGCAGUGAGAGUAAUCAUGUUGAUGGAAUUCAAGAGAAGAGUGUUCCAAUUGUUACGUAGUUCACAAAUGUUGUGAUGCAUUUCAAUUCUGUCAGAAACAACUUCCAAGACUGCAUAUUAUUCCUUUCUAAUUGAUCUUUGAAUCCAUUAAAUUCCUCAAUUAGUUGUCUUGUUUUUGAUAAUUGAGAAAUUAGACAAACUUGGGAGUUUUGGAAGAUGGAUAACAGCAUUAACUGUCCUCAAAGAAGAUAAAUUAGCUGCUGCUGAGAAUUGUAUACUAACCAUGUAUUGAUGAGAGAUUAUUUUUCAAAUGAAGAGAGUUUAUGAAAAAUAAUGAAUGGGAGUGGAUGAUAUAUUAUAUAUAUAAUUGACCAUAGAGCAAGGGAAGAGAAUGGAUCAGAAAAUGUGGGAAGAAGUCAUACGUAACCGUAAGAGUAGACUUGGCCUCAUAAUUGACUUCCUCAACAAGCUUGGUUGCAUUGGUUUGUUUCAACAUUGAACAGAGAGGCCACGAAGUAGUAACGCCAACAAACUGCUCCUUCCCACUUGGAUUUCUUUUAUGCAUCAUACUUGAAUUUUAUUUACAUCACUUAUAUUUGUACACCCUCAACAAAAAUUACAUCUGUUCAAAAUCUCGUUACUCAUAUCACAUCACAAACUUAUCAAAAGAGGAUUGCUAUACAUAGCGAUAAAAUCAUCAAGAAGAGAUCACGAACAAUUUGCAACCGUUAGAUCAGGCAAUUUCUAGGAAAACAUGGGCGGGAAAAACUAAAAGGGGUUAUUGCAGCAAUUACUUUCUCACAUAGUGAUUUUAUCGUGACCAAACAAUUCGGGAGAACUAGCAUUUCUCCUUAUCAAAAUUAUCACAUUAGUCUCUUUACUUCUUUCUCUUAUAGAUUGAAGUUCGGAUGUCUAAGAAUCAUUUUCCUUUUAUUUAUUAAACAAUAGAGGAGUCAAUUUUUCUUUUAUUAUAAAAGUAAUGUUAUUCAUUCAAAUUGAAAUAGUAUAUCAUAAAUAAACAUGGAUGUAACAUCCCUAAAAAAAAAAAUCUGCGAACAAAUCAAAGUAAUAGAAAUAUUCAUGCCUAUGAAUCUACAAUAUUGACGAUAUAAUCAUUUAUUGAAGUUUAUAUGUCAAUAUCAACCAAACUAACAUCGUACCAUGACACAACAUCAAACAACAUCGCACCAAGAUGACCACCUUAUCAAUGUUACGCUGAAGUGGCGAAAUCACCAAAAGACACCAAAAAAAAUUAUAGUUUAUGUGAAAACUACUUAUUUAGAACAAGGAAGAAAAAAUAUAUAGAUGAGUGAUUUCAGACAAAAAAAAAUAUAUACAAGAUCACCCCAUUUCCAGUGAACGAAGAAAGAGAAAAUUUAGAGAGAAGAUGAAAUUUAUCUCUCUAAAAAAUUAGGGUCGGUUGUUUCCUUUUAUUUUUAAUUUAAUUAGGGCAUAAUAUUUUAUCAUGACAACGAAUGUAGAGGUGAAUAAUGUUCGAAUUUGACAAGGAGUGGUGUUUGCAUUUACUCGACGUAUUGAACUAGCUCAAGUGGAGAAAACUUCUGGUAAAUCAAAAGAGGUAUGAAUAAGUUUUUGAUACUUAUAAAGUGGUGUUUGCAUUUUGAUUCAAGUCUGUCUGAUAUUUUUUUUAAAAAUUUUGGUCCUCCAAAUAUUUUCCAUCAACACUUUUGUUUUCUAAUUUUAUGUCAGGUCAUGUCACAUGUAUACUUUUCAUAUUUUUGAAUGAGUUUUUUAAAGAAUGUUUGGAAUUAUAAGAAUCUUUUUCAAAAGAAUUAGUUUUUUUUAACAAAACAUGAAUUAAAUAAGAGUUUUUAAGUGUCAAAAACAAAAUAAUUUAAAUACUCAAUAAUUUUUUAAGAGAGAAUUCUUUAAUGAACUGAAUAUGAUUGAAAAAAAAAAUCAAAAUUCUAAAUAAUACACAUGAGUAAACUUAAAAGCAGGGUUCAAUGACUAAAAAUAUUUUAAGGACCAAAUAUUGAAGAAAACUUUUAGAUAGAUUAAAGGCAAAAUUUGAAAAUUUUAAAGAAACUAAAACUUAUUUAACCCAUAAGAAAAAUAUAUCAUAACAUAAUCAUUCAUUUAAAAAAACAUUAACUAUUUUAUGAAGAAAAAAAAAAUCAUAAAUAUAUGAUACAAGAGAAAAAAGGAUUCUAGAUUUUUUUUUUUUUCUUUCAAAUUUUGUUUAGUUUGGUUUUUUUUCAACAAAAUUUUUAUUUAAAAAAAUGAGUAAAUGGUCACUUUGGUCCCUGACUCUGCAUUUCGCGGUCACAAAUGUCCCUGAGUCAAGAUUAAAUACAAAGUAGUCCCUGAAUGUGCACUUCUGUUAUCAGUUUAGUCAUGUUAAAAAACUUAUGUUAACUGAUGAGGCGGCGUGCAUGAGAUGUCACACGGACUAAGUGAAAGAAGAAAUUAGUCACUUUGAUCCCUGAAUCUCAAAUCCCUAAAUCUCUAAAUCCCGAAUUUAAUCCUCAAAUUCUUAAAUCUCUAAAUCUCAUCUAAUUUCCUCUUUGUUCAAUAUCAAUUUCAUUUUUGAGCUGUUGUUAAUCAGUGGAGAUUUGUGGUAAGAAAUGAACAUAGUAAACUCCAAAUCUUUUGUGUUGUCAAUCAAAAGAGUUUAGUUUAUAUGGUGUCGAUUAUUAUAAUUAAUAGUAUGUCUCAUGUCAAAUGUGAUUUUAGUAAAAAAAUCUAUGCAUGUUUCGUAACCGUCAAACAAUUGAGUAUGCCUCCAAACUUUGGCUUAACUAAACAUGAUCAAAAUAGCUUCAACCAUAUCUUAGUUUGUACUAAAACACAUUUAUCAAACAUGCAUGUAAAAACGUACUAAUUAGCUUCAGUGCAUUUUCACUAUAGAAUGAGAGAAAGAUUAUACUUUUUGGAAUUGAUGAGUAAAAUGUGGUGAUUUCUAAUAAACAUUAGAAUUUAGUACAGUCCAUAUAAUUAACAACAACAAAAAAAAAUUCAUUUUGAACAAAAGAGGGAAUUAGAUGAAAUUUAGGGAUUUUAUGAUUAAAUUCGGGAUUUAGGAAUUUGAGAUUCAAUUUCGGAAUAUUGAUUUUCAAUUUAGGGACCAAACGACUAUUUUCCACUUUCAGUUUAAUCUUUGUGACACCUCAUGUACACCACCUCGUAAGUUAAUAGAAGUUUUUAACAUCAGAGACUAAACCGAUUACACAUUCAGAGACUACUUUGUAUUUAAUCCUGAGUCAAUGACCUUUGUGACAGUGAGAUGCGAGUCAUGGACCAAAUUGAUCAUUUGCUAAAAAAAAAUCAUGGGCUCAAACUCGUCACAGACACACAGGUCUAUGAAAGUAUUUACAAGUCUAUCUGAAACUACCCGAGUCUGAAUCUACACGAGUUUGACAGCCAUAGUCUAGCAUUUAUAUUUUUGUCUCUUCUAAGCCAAAUAUUGUUAACAAUAUAUGAUAAAAGAAUGUGGCAAAAAUAAUAAAAUGGCUGGGUCAAAAAAAAAAUAUUAAGAUUACCAUUAAAAUUAUGAUUUUGACAACUUAGAGAAAAACAUGAUAGCAAUAUUAUAUUAAAAAGACAUUUCAAAACUAUAAAUGUCACCAUCUCAUGAGAUUUAAUGUAUUAUUAAUUACGACAUAUGAAAUUAGGUCACAUGUUUUGUGACGGGGAGUAUCAAGCAUGAGCAAGGAAAAGCCUUUGAAUUUUGAUCUCGUAUCGCACGAUGUAAUUUUUGAACGUAUCCAUACAACCGUGUACGAGGUGAAAAUGUUUGAACAGUAAGAGUUGAAUAAUCAAACAAAAUGAAGUCAACCAGUAACACCCAGUCAAAUAGUUUCCUUAUCUGACCCAUUCAUUCUCUUCUUGUUCACACAUCAGUCAUCACCUAUAUAUAUAUAUAUAUAUAUAUAUAUAUAUAUAUAUAUAUAUUACACAACCCACACACAUUUAUUCAACCAUACAAAAUUUCACAAGAAAACCUUAAGAAAUUCAACACACAUAACAAACAUCUACCUAUCUAAUUUCUCAUUAGAUCACAUAUAUGGCUUCUUUACAAGUUUCAUCUAUGCUUUCUUCUUUUUCUUCAGAUCAAAAAAUGAUUAAAUCCUCUUUCAAUGUUCCAAAACUCCCUAAAGCUCUUUCCAUAGUUCCAAAAACAAGACCAAGCAGGAAGCUGUUUGAAGAAUUAAACGGUCAACUCAUACACACAAUCCCAAUAAUGAUUCAAGAAAAUGAUUAUCAUUAUUCACCCAAGUACAAUUCUCCUUCUUCUAAAUCACCAAAAACAAAAACAAAAACCAUUACUCAACUCUAUGCAAUUCUUGAAUCUGUAUCCGACAGAAUAGAAAUGCAUCAAAACAUUGGCGAACAACGCGAUAAUUGGAAUACCCUUCUAUUAAACUCCAUCAACAUGAUCACUCUCACCGCCACCGCCAUGGCAGGUAUAUCAGCCAUAAGCGGCUCCGGUGCUCCUCUUUUAGCCCUCAAAUUAUCUUCCGCACUUUUAUUCUCAGCUUCUACUGGUAUGUUAAUUAUCAUGAACAAAAUCCAACCUUCACAACUUGCUGAGGAGCAAAGAAAUGCAACAAGAUUGUUCAAACAGCUUAAGUCCCAGAUUGAAACAACAAUAGCAAUUGGGAACCCCACAGAGGAAUAUAUAAAGGAUACUAUUCAAGAAGUUCUAGCUCUUGAUAGAGCUUAUCCACUACCUUUGUUAGGAGUUAUGAUUGAAAAAUUCCCUCAAAAAUAUGAACCUGCAAAUUGGAGGCCUACAAAAAAAUCAUCUAGAAGAAGCAACAAUAGUUUUCAUUCAGAAAAUAAUGAAACAAAGAAAAAUGGAUGGAAUGAAGGAUUAGAAAGUGAAGUAAAAGAUGUAUUAGAAGUUAUGAAGAGAAAAGAUAUGGAAGAUUAUGAGAGAUUAGGAAACUUGGUGUUGAAGAUAAAUAAGACAUUGGCUAUUGCAGGACCAUUACUCACUGGAAUUGCAGCUGUGGGGUCCACAUUUGUUGGUCAAGGUUCAUUGGCAUCUAUAGUACCUGUUAUGGCUGGAGCAUUGGCUACUGCUGUUAAUUCUUUUGAGCAUGGUGGACAAGUUGGUAUGGUUUCUGAAAUGUAUAGAGCUUGUGGUGGAUUCUUUCAAAUGAUGGAAAGUUCAAUUCAAGAGAAUAUAUUAGAAGAAGAUGAAGAACAAAGAGAAAAUGGAGAUUUGUUUGAAAUUAAAUUGGCUUUGAAAUUGGGAAGAAGUUUGUCACAAUUAAGAGAUCUUGCUAUAAAAUCAGCUUACUCUCGUGUUGAGGGAACUAUAGUUGAUGAAUUUGCAAGCAAGCUUUUCUAAUUGUUUUUAGUUUACUUUUUUCUUGAUCUAACUUAACAAUUCUUUGAUUCAAUUAUGAUUAUUUCUUACAAAUUCAUUGGUGUCCUUUUGAUUGUUUUUGUUAGGGGUGUUCAUGGAUUGGGUAAAUCCAAAAAACCAUCGAACCCACCCAAAAAAAACCAAAAAAGUGGGUUGGGUUGGGUGAUUGGGUGGAUAUGGUUUUAAAAAAUAAAAAACUCAUAAAAAAUAACGGGUUUUGGGUAAAACCAAACCCAAACCCAAUAAACCCACUUACCCAAUAAUGUUUAUUUUUUUUUUCAUUUUCAUUUUCAUAGGGAGGAAGGAGAAUAACAAAGAUUUUGGUUAUAAUCUUUCUUUAAAAUAAAAUGGUUAUAAACCAAGUCUAACUUCUAAAUUUGACACAAUAAAUCAUCUAUAUUGAAAAUCAAUGUCUAAUUUCUAAAAUUGACACAACACAUCCUCUAUAUUGAAAAUAAAAACAUGUUAGAGUUACAAAUUAUGAUGUUGAACUUUUUAGUUAUUUUGAAGUUAAAGCAAUUUUAUGCCAUCCCACUUUAGUUUGUUGCAAAUAUUUUAUUUUAUGAUGAAAUUUAUUAUUUAAUAUUAUAACUUAUUAUUUUAUAACGUUAAAAUAUAGUGAAAUAGGUUACACAAUUUUAUUAAGAAAAUAAAAAGUUGAGUAAAUUUUAUGAGAAAAAAAUAGGAGGAAGCGUCAUUAGUAUUAACAAAAAAACAAAAAAAAAUAACUUGGGUAACCCACCAUCCAACCCAAACCAAACCGAAAACUAGUGGGUUUGUCCAGACCCACCCAGUAAUAUAACGGAUGGACAUUUUACCUCACCCAAACCGGAGUACUCUAUAUGGUUCGGGUUUUGGGUUUGGUCAAACCCAACCCAAACCCACCCACGUACACCUCUAGUUUUUGUGUACAUUUGCUUGUAUAGAAACUAAAUUUAAUUAACCACCAACCAAUUGUUGUAAUUUUUGUAUAUUUCAAAAGUUUUAUAAUAUAUAUAUAGUUAAUAGAGAAUUAUUAUUAUUUUAUUUAUGAUUAAAAUUAAUAGUUGACUUGGUCUAAUUCUUUUGGCCACAUCAUUUUGACUUGGUUAAAUCUAAGUAUUUAUACUAUCAUUUGUUGCAACCGAAAAUAAUUAAAGGCACGUUAUAUUUUUAGUAUCAAUUGCUUUUAUAUUUGAGAAGUUAAUGCCUACUUUUUCUCACUAUUAAAACUGCCAAUUUCAUCUAUUAACAGGAACGCACGUUUUAGUUUCGAAGAAUUGGCAGUACCAUUUUCUUUUAUAUAAUAAAUAUCUAUAUCCUUUAUUUUACAUGGCAGACUCUCCUGAGUUUAUCAAAUUUAAGUUGUUCUGUCAUCUCUAGUAUGAUUCAUAUCAGAGAAUGAUUCAUAUCAGAGAAGAACAUGUUGUAUCCUAAGAGAAAAUGUGCUUAUGAGGCAGAUGAAUCCUUAACGACAGUGAUCCUAUCACGUCUCAGGUUUAUGUAAUGGUUUACUGUUUUGCAGGUUAUCACUUUCAUGGUUUAGUGUUUGUUUACUUUGAUUUUGCCGAGAUCAAAUUACCUCAAUUAUUUUUAAGAACGGAUGAGUUUACUUGAUAUCCCUCUUGUUUAUUCUCUUCAAUAUUUAAUUCAUGCUUUUAUUUGUAUGAUGAUUAUUAUUUAUAGAGAUAAUUUAUUCCUAUUUUUUACAACACCAAUAUUAUUAUAAUUAUACGUAACAAGUAAGAUUUUUUCGUAUCUAGGUUAAUCAUUGUUAAAAGUCCCACAUCAGUUAGGAGUUGGUCUGACAAUUUAUUUAUAAGUGGGGGCAAUCAUCACCUCACAAACCAGUUUUGUGGGGUUGUGUUAAGCUCAACCACGAUUUCUAAUAAUCACCAACUACUCACUUUUUUUAACGACCAUCAACUACUCAUUAGUCCUCGAUGUCUAGACAUUUUGUACACCAACUAGUUAUUGAUUAUAACUAGUCAUAAUCACUCUUUGGUGUCAAGCCAUUUGGGACCAUUGAGCAUUCACAAUUAGUCUGCUAUUAAUAAGCCUUGGACCGGGUCUCAACACUUCAAUUUUAUAAUUUUAAGAUUUUGUACAUAUAAUCAAUUCAUGCAUAUUUACAAUUUUUAGCAACAAAGUCUGGUUAUAAAGAAAACAUAAAAAUAAAGGAAAGUGUAAGCAAGAAUACAAGUGAUUAAUCACAUAAUUUAUCGUAUGGUGCCUAAGCCUCUAGCAGUAGAGUGGAAAUGAUUUUUUAUUAGAUUUAAUUACACUUUUGGUCCUUGUGUUUUGGCCUACUCACGAAAUUGGUCUUACCUUUUUAAAACAGAACAAAACGGUCUUCAAUUAUCAUUUGUGUUGCAUUUUUCGUCCUACCUCCUAUUUUCAAACUCCAGAAAUGCAGAGAAAUGACAGUUUUAAGCGGUUUUAGACCUACCCUAUGUUCAACCAUGAAAUCAACAAGGAAAUAAAACAUGUGGGUACAAGGAAUCUAUUCUAUCCAGCACACUAACAAAAAAAAAAACCUAAUUUGAAAAAUAUCUUAGAAAUUAGGGUUUUUUUGGUUAGUGUGUUGAAUAAAAUAAAGUGGAUUCUUUGUACCCACAUGCUUUAUUCCUUGUUUAUUUCAUGGUUAAUCAUAGGGGUAGGUCUAAAACUGUCAUUUCUCUGCGUUUUUGGAGAAUAAAAUUGGGGGUAAGACGAAAAAUGCAACAAAAAUGAUAAUUGAAGGACAGUUUUGUUCUAUUUUAAAAGGGCAGGACCAAUUUCGUGAGUAGACCAAAACACAAGAACCAAAAGUGUAAUUAAAUUUUUCUAUUAUUGAUCAUAAUGGCGUAUGUUCACCAUCUUGCUGACGUUUAUAGGAAUAGGACCUUUAACCUUUCAAUGGUGCUACCUGGAAAAUGUCCUUAAAACAUAAACAAUAUUUAUUAGUUGCGUGACUGAUUCUAUUGUGAUAUUUUUCGUUUUUGAAUUCAUGUGAUCAUUGAUGACACUCUGUCAUGUCAUCUCUCUGUUGUUAGUCAUUUUUUAUGUGAAACUCAUUGUAAACAUGGGAGUUGGAAGUUAAAAACAACAGUAAGCAGGAAGUUUGAGAAAAGCAAAAUCGGGCGUUUAAUUUCUUACCAUCGGGCGCCGAUUUCAAGGCACAAGAACCAGUUUGGUUCGACAUUUUUUGGCCACCGAUUUCGCAGGAGUGUGCAGCUGAAAUUUGAAUUCAUGAAGAUUUCGGGGGCCGAUUUUAACACUUCGGGGGCUGAUUUUCGAUGGAUCUAUUUAAGGCAAACACAUUUUCUGAAGAAGGGUUCGAGAUUUUUGAGAAAAAAGACAUAUUUUGAAGCUGAAGCAUUGAAGAUCUGGUGGGAGGCCAUCAAAACUCAUAGUCAGUCCUCCAUUACAUGUGUGAAUCUUGGUUUCGCAUUAGUUAUUUGUACUUUAGCUAUGAGUAACUAAUCUCCUUGUGGUUGAGACUUAGAUGAAACUGGUGUAAUUUUAUGGAGACCUAAUUUGUAUGAACUCUCUUGAAUAUAUCAAUGAAAGUCUAUUUUAAUUUAUUACCUUGUGUUUAAUGUUGUUUAUAUGUUUGUUUAUGAUUGACUACUAGCACUAGCAUCCCGAAUGUGUAAAUUGAUCCUAGAACUUAAAAGACCACUAGCCAUGGUUUUUGAAUAUCUGAUCUAGGAAACAUGUUUAACCUAAGUAAUUAAGCUAGAGAUAGAAAAUUAUUAGGUUAUGAUUUAGGGAUUAACGGAUUGUUAAAGUUUCGAAUUCACUUAAGAGAUUAAUGGUGUAUUUGAAUGGAGAGUUUAGGAGGGGAAGGGAAGGGAGGGUUUACUUUUAAUUUUUAAAUUAAGGACACUAUGAAAUGUUUUUUAAAAAGUUAACAUGAUAAAUGAUCAUAUAAUACUUCAAUCGCACUUAAUUUAUUUUAGAAAAACAUGUUAUAUCGUCUGUACUUUAAAAAUGAAAAGUAAACUCUCCCCUCCCUUUCCCUCCUAAACCCUCAAUCCAAACACGCCUUAAGGGAUUGUCAUUUGCAGACAGGGUUCUAGGUCAAGAGAUUGAGUAGAACCAUUUUAUUAAUCUGUUGUUAAACUAGAAAGACAUUGAUUGAACAGGGGUGCAAAUUACCAAAUAAGAACAUCGGAUGAUUCGAAUGUCUUAACUAUAUUUUUUCAUAAAUUUCUACAACCAAAGCUUUUAUCGGCUUUAAACAAUUUAUGUUACAAAUACCAACCCAACUACUUAGAACAACCUUAAAUUUAAUACAUCCUUUAAAUAAUGAAAUUGUUAAGUAAAAGUAAACAAAAAUCCUCAUAAAUACAAUCUUUAAUAUUACUUCGAUAAUUUUGAUACAUUUACCAAAAUCCUAUCAAUCAUAACAUUUCAUUUGUGUAUCUUUCAACAAGAUGUCAGAUGUUUUGUCGGUUUUAGUGACACCAAAUGUAUAAAUCUUUGAGAAAUGAUAUUUGAACAUCUAUUUUUUGACAAUUUUUGUGACAACUUUCUCUCUCAUACUUACAUUAUACUUUUACUUUCUCUCUCUAUUAUUUUGGUUUUCGUGUCAAUAACUAAUUUCCUUUAUAAAUUUAUGGUUGUUCCAAAAGUUGCCACCAAAAUAAUUGUUCAAAUAACACAUCUAUAAACCUUUCUAUUAAAAUAUGCGUUUCAUCUUAGCCUCGUAUGGGAUACAAACACAGGAAAGAGCAUUCUUUAACUUGGUAAGAUUUGUUUCACAAGUGUCUUGGUCCGACAAUUCUGAGGACUUAAAACAUAUUAAUUUGAUACUUUUCAGCCCUAAGUUGUUCAAUUUGUCGAACUUUUUCUCCUAAUUGGACCAAGUCAACAAGAUGUUGAUUGACCAAUUUUUCUCUAAUGUAAAAAUCUAAACCACCAAUCUACAACCAUUAUGAUGUCUAAACCUUUAUAGGUAAUUGUCGGCAAAAUCGUUACCAAUUCUUUUGAUAUUGUACUAAUCCAUCAAUAUUGGUUAAUGUAACCUUUAGGUCACCUCUGAAGAAUUGGUUAUGGAAACUACAUUCUAUCCAUUGUUGUCAAAAUUCAGAAUUCAAUCUUAAAAUUUAAAAUUUUGCGAUUUUACUUACCUUUAAUGACUCAAAUUCAUAGGAGAAUCUUAAAAUAGGCAAAAUCUUAGUAAAAUCGUAUCAAAAUCCUACAAAAUCCCGAAAUUCAUACAAAAUUGAAGGAUUUUGAAAGAUUUAGUCCACUUUUUUUAGUCAUUUAUGUAUAAAUAUUUUGUGGACUUACCGAGUAAUUUAUGACUAUAUAUAAUUUAUAAUAUAUAGUUAGCAUUAUUUUUGUUUUGGUAUAAUUCAUCGAUUUGUAUUGCGAUUUUACGAUUUUUGAUAUUGAUUCUACAAAAAUAGUUGAGCAAAAUCCUUCGAUUUUGAUUGCGAUUUUAGAAUUUUUGAUUUUUCUAUUCCCUUUCGACCUAAAGCAAAAUCCCGAUUUUGACAACCUUAAUUCUAACCGAGUCCAUGAGUGAAUAGAAUUUCACUUAGGGUGGAUAGCCAUGAGAAUGCAUUCUUGGUUAAAGAACUUGGGAUAAACUCAUUUUAACUAUUGCAAAUUCCCAUAUUUUUGUGGAGAAUUUUGCAAUGUGUUUAAUGAUUGAUUCCCCAAUAUCCCCUAUGAACAUGGCCAAUUUGGGAUAUUUAGCGCCUCUUGGGACUUCAACAUGUGUUGUGCCCUUUUAGAAGAUGGAGAAGUAAAGAACGAAUGAUUAGGAUGUUCCACGUCAAAACCAACCCUAUUGAGACCUAGCUCGACCACUUGAUAACAUUGUGGUCCAUUUGGUUGACUAAAAUGAUGCGCCCUAACGCAUCUACUAAAGGAUUUUGGUGAACAUACAAGUCACUGCUCAAUAACAGUUCACAUUCUCAUAUUGCAAUGGUGGCAAACGAUAAUGGUUAAUGUCGAGAUUGGCAUUUUAGAACUAUGUUUGAACCAUGUCGCUAUUCAUUUGUCUCCUAUGCUCAUUAACAUUCCCAAGAUUCAUGCAUAUGAAUAUGGCAUUUUUCGUCAAUUAGGGGAUAAAUGAUUUUGUUAUCCUGGAGAGUGUUUCCCUAUCCAGGUUGUGUCAAUGCCUAACACUUGGUUCAAUGUGACCACCUAAUCUAGGUGGCCAAAACAGAUCAAGCAUCGUUGUAUUUUCCACAAGCAUUAUCGUACCCGUUGUAUUUACUAUAAGAAAAAUGGGAGUACAUUAUACAAUUCUCUAAAGUUACUCCUCAAACGUUCAACGGUUUUAUUUUCAAAAUAAUUGAAAGAAUUCGUAUGAAAAGAAUGAAUCAAACAAAAAAAAAAUGUUGUUUUCAGAAGAGUUUGUUGGCGAAUUCAUCUAUCUCACGUCCUUCCAUCCGAUAGAGAGCAGAUUUCGAGGCAAAUUCUCUCAUCUCCAUUACACUUCUUCCCAAUUUUAAAGCAAUCUUCAUUUCAAACACUUCCCCGUUUUCUCUUUUAUUCAAAUCUUUAUCUUCAAUAGUUUCUUCAACCGUCUCUUCCAAAAGCUCAAAAAAUCCACUACAGUUUCUAUACAUCUGAAACAUCAUACCAACUUGUUCAAAAGUAUUAGCAACAGUUGUCAUUUAACUUUAUCAGAAAAAUCAUUCUUACAACUUCACCAUAAAAUUUUUUAUUUAUACUAAUAAUUGAGUCAAAACAAUAAUAAUUAUUUGUACUAAUCACGACUAGAAAAGAAGGUGCUAGAUACGUGCUUAUGUCAUAAUCUUGACCAAUUCCUGUUUAAAGUAAUGAAGCCAUAAAUGGAAACCCCAUCCCAUCAUUGGUGUACGUUAAUAUCAAUCAAUUAACAUUCUAAUAAAUGCAUGGCCCUAUAGUACUUUCGCUUCAGUUACAUAUACUAAUGAAAUACAGUAAGACUCAUGUCUCGUAUCGUAUGUUUCUUAUUCUUAAAUACUAUAUUGUGAAUUUGUGACACGCAAGACAACAUGUCAACAUAUAUGUCUCGUGUGUUUGUCUCCUCUGCAUUAGAUUAUUAGGCAUUUCUAACUCAAUAUAUAGGAGGUGAAUGUGUUUUACACAUCUACAAUAUACAAAGCAAACAUCUGCUCCAGAUGCUUCAAAAUUUUGGAUAAAAAAAAAAAGCCUAAAAAAUGUAAUUUAGUUAUAAAUCUUAAUGUUUCAAAUUCUAGCACCACUACUAAAAAACAAAAAUUAGUGAGGGAAAUUUUGUGAGGGAAAACGUGAAAUCCCUCUCUAAUUCCGUCACUAAAUUUUACGAUCAUAAAAUUUGUGAGGAAUUUUAUUUUUUCCGUCACUAAUUUCCCCCGCUAAUUUUGUUUUUUCUAGUAGUGCACAUCAUGCAGAAAAACUCCAUAAGGUUUGAUAUUCAUCAAAGUGAAUAUUGUUGAGUAUGACUCAUAUAUAGAAAUGGAAGAGAGGCAAGGGGCUCACAGUCGUUGUUGUAAUCUAAAUUGUAACUAUAUAUUAGAUUUUUGACUCGUGCUCCGCUUGGGUUUAUUGUAAAGGAUUGACAUACGAAUAAUAAAAUGCAAUAUAUAAUUGGUAACGGUGAAAAAAAAAAGUUGUAAGGUCACUUCUUUCCAUUUGCAAAGCUCUAAAUAUCAAAAUAUAUGAUUUUUGUGUUGUGUGUGAAAAAAAAAAUUGUUGUAAGGUCGCGUCUUUCUAUUUGCAAAGCUCUAAAUAUCAAAAUAUAUGUAUGUCUUAGAAAAUUUUGCUGGAAAAUUCAUCUAUGUCAACACCUUCCAUGCGAUAAGAAGCUGAUUUUGAUGCAAGUUCCCUUAGCUCUGAUACACUUUUUCCCAAUUGCAAAGCCAUCUUCAUUUCAAAUAGCUCUCCAUUUUCUCUUUUCUCUAAAUCUUUCUCUCCCAAAGUUGAUUCAAUUGAAGUUUCUAUCAAGUUGAAAAAACCAGCAGAAGCUCUAUACAUUUCAAAAACCAUGCCAACUUGUCCACCAUGCUCAAAAGUAUUAAUUACAGAAGCCAAUAGAGGAACAAAAGCAGCCAAAGAACUAUUGCCAAUAAAUGUAGAUCCUAUAGCUGCAAUUCCUGAGAGUAAUGGCCCUGCAAUUGCCAAACUCUUGUUUACCUUCAAUGCUAUGUUUCCAAGUCUAUCAUAAUCUUCAACGUCUUUUCUCUUUAUCACUUCAACAACAUCCCUCAUUUCCAUUUCUAAUUCUUCACUCCAUUCGUUCAUUUUUCCUAUUUUAUUGGACGAUUUGUAUUUCUCCAUCUCACCCUUAACAUAUUUCUCACUAGGAUUUCCAAGAGCAAUUGUAGUUUGAAUUUGCCUUUGAAGUUACUUGAACAAUCUUGUGGCAUUCCUUUGUUCUUCUGUGAGUUGAGAGGGUUGGAUUUUGUUCAUGAUAAGCAACAAUCCGUUGGCUGCCGAAAACAGGAGAGCAGAAGAUAGUUUCAGAGCCAAAAGUGGUGCAACUUCCCCACUUGUGACAGCUGCAACACCAGACAUAGUCUUAGCAGUGAGAGUAAUCAUGUUUAUUGAGUUCAAAAGAAGAUUAUUCCAGUUGUUACGUUCGCCAAUGUUGUGAUGCAUUUCUAUUCUGUCUGAUACAGCUUCUAAAACUGUAGAGUUGAAUUGUGGCUUUAGAAUUUGUAGAAUGCUUUUGUUGUUGAUCUUGUAAUAUUUCUGUUUUGUUGAUGUGUUCAUUGUUUUGUAGUUUUAAUUCUUGAUCAACAACUUGUUUUCUGGUUUGAAUAGUUGGCAAUGAAAUAUUUGGGAGUUUUGGAAGAUUAAUUGCAGCAUUAAUUACUCUCUUUGAAGAUGAUAAAGAACAAGAAGUUAGAACUGAAGUUUGUAAUAUUGAAGCCAUGAUAUAUACAAAUUAAUAAUAUUUGAAGAUGUUUGCUUUGUGUUAAUUUAGGAUAGUGUAUAGUUGGGGAAAUAAAAAGGUUUUGGUUUUUUGUAAUAUUGUUUGAAUGUUUUAUAUUUUGUAAGGUGGUAUGCAAUAUUUAUAUGCCAAAGAGAAUGGGAAGGGGUCAAAAUCAAAUAAGGAAACUAUGAUUGACCAAUUGAAUUAAUUAAAAAUUGACAUAGUCUCUGUUCAAAAUUCCAAGCCUUGUGUAUGUUGGGUGGUCUCAACAUGCAACGUUGUACAAAUAAAACCACAAUUAAGGCUGCGUUACAUGCAAGAAUUAUGAAACUAAGUAGUAGCUUGGUAAUUAGCAUGCAACAAAGGCUAUGGACUUUUUCUCUAUUUCAUUUCAUUCACUAAUUUUUUACUUUUCAUUUGUCAUUAUAUAAGCUAUAUAUGGCUAGUGCUCCAUUAGUUUUAGAAAUGUCUUUGAUUUUGAAGUAUCUUUGGGUUUGGUCAUACCAUUUGUCAAUAUAUAAGCCAUCUUCAGCAUUUUAAUUUUAAAAAUUUGAAUAUUCUUCUAUGUGGACUUUUGUUUUGGUAGUCAAAACAAUUAAGAUGCACUCUCAACUAAUGUUCCAUAAUUAAACUUUGAAUCAAAUAGAGAAUCAAGUAUCUACCACUUAUGUUACAUUCUGUUAUUUUAGUUUUUUGGUUGAUUUUUUAUUAUUUCAAUUUAAGAUUUGAAGAAUGAGAAAAUAUAAUUUCAAAUCAAUAUAGAUAUAAAAGGAUUGACUAAAUCUACCAAAAAAAAUAUUGAAUAAUAGAUAAAUGUUUUGGAAUGGAAAAAGACAUGUCAACCUAAAAAGUCUAAAGAGGAUGGAUACCAACCUUAAAGCAACUACUAUCAAUAAAGAUUUGGGGUUGAAUUACUAUAGAAAAGAAAUGUUCAGGGGAAUUGAGUUGUGUUCUUAUGACCAAAGAAUAUUUGUGAAACAAACAUAGACAUAUUAGAGUUUGUUUUUCGUCAGAAAUGGUGGGUAAUUUACCCCAACCAAUACACAUUAGCCACAUAAGUAUAUUUUAAAGUGGUAUCCAUGAACUAUCUUGACCACACCAACAAAUUGCUCAUUUUCAUUGGUUGGCAGGUAAAUUAUCCACCAUUCUUCAAAGAUAAUCUAGAAAAAACCUUUAAAAAAACAUAUAAUCAUCUUUUAAAAAAAAAAAACAUAUAAUCAAUUUAAAUAUUCGGGCAAAUCAUAACAUUCAGAUCUAAUAAAACAUAAUCAAUUUACGUACACACAAAAAGAAAACUGCAAUUUAGCAUCAAACAUUUUAGCGUCAAACCAUUUAUGAUAUUAAUAGCAUAGUAUAUAUUUAGAAUCCACUAAAUCUAACACAAAUGUUUCUUUCUUUCUUUUUUUACGCAUCUUCGCGUCAGUCUUGCGGACGCUAUAAACUAUAAUCGUAAAAGCUAAUUAUUUCUAACGUCUACUAAAUUUGGACGCUAAUUUUCUUAUUGUUUAAAUAGUGUCUAUUAAUUCUUAAGCUAAAAUAUUUUUACCCAAAUUUUUUAACACUUCUAUUUUAACAUAUUCCUUAAUUUUUCCACCAUUAUUCGUACAUUUCCCUCAUUCUUACUAAAAAAAUCUCAACUUUACUCCGACUCAAGCUAAAUUGGGGAAGAAAAGAUAUAUAUCAUGAAUUCUCCUACUCAAUUACAUUAUAUAUGAAGUUAAAAAUUAUAUACAGAAUCAGAUCGCUGUAAUCUAUAUUUACAUUUGUUUUCUAUGUUAUGAAAGAAUUAAAGAAUGUCUAUUGUCUUGAAGAAAUAAUAUCUCAGAAGAGCUUGCUGGCAAAUUCAUCUAUUUCGAUACUUUCCAUGCGACAAGAAGCUGAUUUUGAGGCAAGUUCCCUCAGCUCUGUGACACUUCUUCCCAAUCGCAAAGCCAUUUUCAAUUCAAAUAGCUCUCCAUUUUCUCUUUUCUCUAAAUCUUUCUCUCCCAAAGUUGAUUCAAUUGAAGUUUCUAACAAGUUGAAAAAACCAGCAGAAGCUCUAUACAUUUCAAAAACCAUGCCAACUUGUCCACCAUGCUCAAAAGUAUUAACAGCAGAAGCCAAUGAACCAGUCAAUAGAGGAACAAAUGCAGCCAAAGAACUAUUGCCUACAAAUGUAGAUCCAAUUGCUGCAAUUCCUGUGAGUAAUGGCCCUGCAAUUGCCAAACUCUUGUUUACCUUCAACGCUAUGUUUCCAAGUCUGUCAUAAUCUUCAGAAUCUUUUCUCUUGAUCACUUCAGCGACUUCCUGCAUUUCCAUUUCUAAUUCUUCACUCCAUCCAUUGUUCAUUUUCCCCAUCUUCUUGCUUUGAGUUUUUACCUUUUUGGAAAUAGGCCACCAAUUAGCAGGUUCAAAUUUUGAAGGGUAUUUUUCAAGCAUUGCUCCCAAUAAAGGAAGAGGGUAUGCUUUAUCAAUUGCCAAAACCUUUUCCAUUGCAUCUUUGACAUCUUCCUCGGUAGGAUUUCCAAUAGCAAUUGUAGUUUUGAUAUGACUUUGAAGUUGCUUGAACAAUCUUGUAGCAUUUCUUUGUUCCUCUGUGAGUUGAGAGGGUUGGAUUUUGUUCAUGAUAAACAAUAAUCCAGUGGCAGCAGAGAAUAAAAGAGCAGAGGACAGUUUCAUAGCCAUAAGUGGUGCACCUUCCCCGUUUGUGACAGCUGCAACACCAGACAUGGUUGUAGCAGUGAGAGUAAUCAUAUUUAUUGAGUUUAAUAGAAGAUUAUUCCAGUUGUUACGUUGUUCGCCAAUGUUGUGAUGCAUUUCUAUUCUGUCUGAUACAGCUUCCAAGACUGCAUAGAGUUGAACUGUAGCAUU